rnacentral:lncRNA from 1 species
AUCCUUCUACCUUGGUCGAUUUUAUAAUGCGAUAUCCCAGGACUAGUAUCGCCGACCCUUUCAUUUAUUAAGCACAUGCGGAAGCAAUUAAAAUCCCCGGACAAUAAAACGAUGGGAUAGAAAAGCAGGGCCAUAUUUUUCAUAUUGAAAUUUAUAACCACACUUUUAUACAAACCACAAACCUUUUCAUUACUACUCACAUCAAAAUGGAGAUCUCAAAAGAAGACAGAAACUUAGAUGAACUAGGCCGUACUCAAGGCCCCUCUCAUAAUUGUCUUCUUCUUCCAAAAAUCCUUUUCUUCAGAUCUCACCUCCGAGUUCUCCUUCUCGGAUUCCUCCUCCUCAGCUCUUCAGCGGGGUCCUGAAAUGGUUUCCCCAAACUGGGAUGAGACUACGUCUCAGCGAGUUCUACCCCACUAAGCCCGAUUAGAUAAACUAUUAUACUAAAGGCUGCCUAAACACGCACAGGGCAGAGGACUUACCUUGGCCUCAGAUCUCACCUGCAAGUCAGUACAAUUCAUAAUAGGCACCCAAGCAAUCAUAUGACCGAUCGGAGCAUCGAUCAAAUCGACCUAGUCGAUUACAUGCCAAACAAAUCAAUCCCCACUGUGGGAUAUUUAAAAACUAGGCCACGUGUAUUCUCCAGGAUGACCUUCCCAGUCUCCGAGUCACGUGCCUCGAACCUUGGGCCCACGUGCAUUCUCUCAGGCGACCUUUUCGCCAAAGUGAUGCAUCAAGUCACCGAGACCACGUGCCCUUUUAGAUGCCCGGGCCCACGUGCAUUCUCUUAGGUGCAUCUCACCAAAGCGAUGCAUCAAUUCGCCGAGACCACGUGCCCUUUUAGAUGCCAUUCCGGAAUGCUGGACCCACGUGCAUUCUCUAAGGUACUCGCUUACCAAAGUGACGCAUCAGAUCACCGAGCCACGUGUCCUUUUAGAUGCCAAAUCCUGUCACCGAGCCACGUGCAUUCUCCAGGACGACAUACCGAGUCUCCGAGCCACGUGCAUUCUCUCAGGCGACCUUUUCGCCAAGGUGACAUAUUCAACCACUGAACUCACGUGCAUUCUCCAGGUGACAUUCCAAUUCACCGGGCACACGUGUCCUCUUUCAAGUGGUCACCAAAUCUACUUUCAACACCGAUAACCAAUGCCCAACGAUUUCUCAAUCAAAUAAUUAAAUCAACUCCACAAAGCAUUAUAGAUACUGAAUAACAUACUUGGCCAUUCACCAAUCGAUAAUUCAAUCUCAAUCGAUUCCAAUCAAUUUAGGGUAAAUCCCCAAAAUAUCACAAUUUAUUCAAUUCCAUACAACGUGGAGCUCAAAUAAAUAAACGGGCUGCGCCACGACGAUCGGCACGAGAUUUCGGUCGUCGGCCAUCAAAAUCUUAAUUUCUGAAAAAUAAUUAAUUUAUUUAUUAAUUUCGAAAAUUAAAUAAUUAUUAUUAAAAAUUCAAUUUAGCUCAAAAUAAAGCCCGAUUACAUAAAUGGACUUCACCACGGUCAUCAGCACAAUAUUCCGGUUCCGAGCCACCUCAGUUGAAUUUUUGAAAAAUAAAUAAUUAUUUAAUUUAAUUCCGAAAAUUAAUAUUUAAAUACAAAAAUAUCCACUUAGGCCCGAAAAGCCUAAUUGGAGCCCACUAAGGGUCGGGAAAAAUCCCGAGGCACUUCCAAUAAUUAGUAGACCACGUCUACUUGCUAAUUACACAAUCAAUUUAUCUAAAUCACAUCACAAUUGACUAAUAAUUGCUAAUUUAUUCUAAUCUAACAACCUAAAUAUAAUUAAUUAAAUCUAAACCAGCUUAAAGCAUAAUUAGCCACUAAUCCUGGAUUAGUGAGAUUACUCACCAAAUCGCUCGCAAAUCGGAUCAAUCCGACGGCGGCGACGCGAGGAACGAUUGUUCCCAAAGCACGGCUCGGGUUCGGGGCCGGGAAACGGUCCAAAAGCGGGCCCGAAGAUGCUGAAACCCACUACGUGGGUCUGCUGGACGGAGCCGAUCGGGCCUGCUCCGGCGGCUAGGGCGGCGAGGGAAAGCCGGCGGAGGGCGAGGGGGUUGCGGGGGAGGUCCGGCGGGGUUGGCGGUGGCCGGAGGUGGCCGGAGGUGGCCGGAGAUGGGCUGGUCGGAGCUGGAACAGAAGCGAACAGCAGCUGGGUCCGCUCGGGGGAAGCGCUGCAGCGAGCGACGGACGGCGGGAAGGCGGGCGCACGGGCGGGCGGCUGUCGCG